rnacentral:rRNA from 1 species
UAAGGAAUAUUGCGCAAUGGACGCAAGUCUGACGCAGCAACGCCGCGUGCAGGAUGAAGGCCCUUUGGGUUGUAAACUGCUGUAGCAGGGGAAUAAUGGCCACCUUGGGUGGUUUGAAGGUACCCUGAAAGUAAGCGCCGGCUAACUACGUGCCAGCAGCCGCGGUAAUACGUAGGGCGCAAGCGUUGUCCGGAUUCACUGGGUGUAAAGGGUGCGCAGGCGGGAGUGCAAGUCAGAGGUGAAAUCUCACGGCUCAACCGUGAAACUGCCUUUGAUACUGCAUUUCUUGAGUUAGGGAGAGGUUGAUGGAAUUCCAGGUGUAGCGGUGAAAUGCGUAGAUAUCUGGAAGAACACCGGUGGCGAAGGCGGUCAACUGGCCCUCAACUGACGCUGAGGCACGAAAGCGUGGGGAUCAAACAG